rnacentral:tRNA from 1 species
CGCGGCGGCGGCGGGCGAUGGCGGUCGACGGUGACCUCGAGCGUCACCAUGGUUCCGACCGCGGCGUCGCGGAUCUUCGGCCGGGCGCGGCGG